GAUGAACGCUGGCGGCGUGCCUAAUACAUGCAAGUCGAGCGAAUGGAUUAAGAGCUUGCUCUUAUGAAGUUAGCGGCGGACGGGUGAGUAACACGUGGGUAACCUGCCCAUAAGACUGGGAUAACUCCGGGAAACCGGGGCUAAUACCGGAUAACAUUUUGAACCGCAUGGUUCGAAAUUGAAAGGCGGCUUCGGCUGUCACUUAUGGAUGGACCCGCGUCGCAUUAGCUAGUUGGUGAGGUAACGGCUCACCAAGGCAACGAUGCGUAGCCGACCUGAGAGGGUGCUCGGCCACACGGGGACUGAGACACGGCCCAGACUCCGACGGGAGGCAGCAGUAGGGAAUCUUCCGCAAUGGACGAAAGUCUGACGGAGCAACGCCGCGUGAGUGAUGAAGGCUUUCGGGUCGUAAAACUCUGUUGUUAGGGAAGAACAAGUGCUAGUUGAAUAAGCUGGCACCUUGACGGUACCUAACCAGAAAGCCACGGCUAACUACGUGCCAGCCGCCGCGGUAA
rnacentral:rRNA from 1 species